UCAUCAUAUACUGAAUACAUAGGUAUAUGAGGGGAACCGCCUGAACUGAAACAUCUAAGUAGGGCGAGGAAGAGAAAUCAACUGAGAUUCCGUAAGUAGUGGCGAGCGAACGCGGAAGAGGCCAAACCGAGAGUAGUAAUACUUUCGGGGUUCGGACAGAAAACGGUAUUGUAAAGGUUUAGUGGAAUGGAAUGGGAAGUCCAACCGAAGAAGGUGAGAGUCCUGUACACGAAAAGCCUGAACAGCCAUCUGUAUCCAGAGUACCGCCGGACACGUGAAACCCGGUGGGAAUACGGGGGGACCAUCCUCCAAGCCUAAAUACUACUCGGUGACCGAUAGUGAAGAAGUACUGUGAAGGAAAGGUGAAAAGUACCCCUGACGGGGAGUGAAAAAGAACCUGAAACCUUGUGUUUACAAGCACCGAAAGCUCAUCAAAGAGCGAUCGGGUACCUUUUGUAGAAUGGUCCGGCGAGUGAAUGUAACCGGCGAGGUUAAGCACUUAAGGUGUGAAGCCGCAGCGAGAGCAAGUCUGAAUAGGGCGUAUGAAGUCGGUUGUAUUCGACCCGAAACCGGGUGACCUACCCAUGGUCAGGUUGAAGUAAAGGUAAAACUUUAUGGAGGACCGAACCGACUCCCGUUGAAAUGGUAGCGGAUGAACUGUGGGUAGCGGAGAAAUUCCAAUCGAACCCGGAGAUAGCUGGUUCUCUCCGAAAUAGCUUUAGGGCUAGCCUUGAAAUAGAUUACCGGAGGUAAAGCACUGAAUUGGCUAGGGGCCGAGAGGUUACUGAACCUUAUCAAACUAAGAAUGCCGGAUAAUCGUUUUUCAGGAGUCAGACAGUGGGAGAUAAGUUUCAUUGUCAAAAGGGAAACAGCCCAGACCCACAGCUAAGGUCCCCAAGUAUAGUUAAGUGGAAAAGGAUGUGGAAUUGCACAGACAACCAGGAUGUUGGCUUAGAAGCAGCCACUCAUUAAAAGAGUGCGUAAUAGCUCACUGGUCGAGUGACUCUGCGCCGAAAAUUUAACGGGGCUAAACUAUACACCGAAGCUUGGGAUACAUCUAAUGUAUGGUAGGAGAGCGUUCUGUAUGGGGAGAAGUCGUAGCGAAAGCGGCGGUGGACUAUACAGAAGUGAGAAUGCCGGAAUAAGUAGCGAGAAUUAAGUGAGAAUCUUAAUGGCCGAAAGUCUAAGGUUUUUGGAGGAAGGUUCGUCCGCUCCAAGUAAGUCGGGAGCUAAGGUCAGGCCGAAAGGCGUAGCCGAUGCACAUACGGUUGAUAUUCCGUAACCAUCUGUAAUUUAAGCAAAGGGACACUUCAAAAGGGUGUGACCCGGGCGUUGGUUGACCCGGGCGUAAGGGACCGAAAUUAGAGUAGGGAAGCACACUUAGCUGAAGGCGAGAAAAGCUUUGCGUAUAGAAACAGAUGCCCGUACCGCAAACCGACACAGGUGGACAGGAAGAGAAUUCUAAGGCCAGCGGGAGAAGGGUAGUUAAGGAACUCGGCAAAUUGACUCCGUAACUUCGGAAUAAGGAGUGCUCGAAAGAGCCGCAGAGAAUAGGCCCAGGCGACUGUUUAGCAAAAACACAGGUCUCUGCCAAAUCGAAAGAUGAAGUAUAGGGGCUGACACCUGCCCGGUGCCGGAAGGUUAAGAGGAGGAGUGAGAGCUCCGAAUUGAAGCCCCGGUAAACGGCGGCCGUAACUAUAACGGUCCUAAGGUAGCGAAAUUCCUUGUCGGGUAAGUUCCGACCCGCACGAAUGGUGUAACGAUCUGGGCACUGUCUCAACUACCCACCCGGCGAAAUUGUAGUACCGGUGAAGAUGCCGGUUACCUGCGGCAAGACGGAAAGACCCCAUGGAGCUUUACUGUAGCCUGAUAUUGGGUUUCGGAAAUCUAUGUACAGGAUAGGCGGGAGACUUGGAAACAUGAGCGUCAGCUUGUGUGGAGUCGAUGUUGGGAUACCGCCCUUAGGUUUCUGGAAUUCUAACCUGCGGCCGUGAAUCCGGUCGGGGGACAUUGUCAGGUGGGCAGUUUGACUGGGGCGGUCGCCUCCGAAAAGGUAACGGAGGCGCUCAAAGGUUAGCUCAGCACGGACGGAAACCGUGCCUCUGAGUGUAAACGCAAAAGCUAGCCUAACUGCGAGGGUGACGGCCCGAGCAGUAACGAAAGUUGGAGUUAGUGAUCCGGCGGUAUGUGAAUGGAAAUGCCGUCGCUCAACGGAUAAAAGCUACCCUGGGGAUAACAGGCUGAUCU
rnacentral:rRNA from 1 species